rnacentral:rRNA from 1 species
UACGGGGGGGGCAAGCGUUGUUCGGAAUUACUGGGCGUAAAGGGCUCGUAGGCGGCCAACUAAGUCGGAUGUGAAAUCCCCAGGCUUAACCUGGGAACUGCAUCCGAUACUGGAUGGCUUGAAUCCGGGAGAGGGAUGCAGAAUUCCAGGUGUAGCGGUGAAAUGCGUAGAUAUCGGGAGGAACACCAGUGGCGAAGGCGGUUGCCUGGAGCUUUGCUGACGCUGAGGCGCGAAAGCGUGGGGAGCGAUCCGG